rnacentral:lncRNA from 1 species
UUCAAUCAUUAAACCAUUCACUCCGUGUGAUAUAAUGUCAUCUUUAAGCCAAAUGCACUAUCUCCUUGAGCUCUAUCUUGUCUUCUUAUGAACUCAGAGUUGUUUGUGUUGUGAAACCAAACACUUAAUUCUCUUUGCUUUCGAUCAUACCAUAUAGUGGCACCAUGCUUUCGGCUACCCACAUAUUGGUUAACGCCAGUUUUAC